ensembl:snRNA U4 U4 spliceosomal RNA
AGCUUUGCACACCGGCAGUAUCGCAGCCAAUGAGGUUUAUCUGAGGUGCGAUUAUUGCUAAUUGAAAACUUUUCCCAAUACCCUGCCAUGACGACUUGAAAUAUAGUUGGCCUUGGCAAUUUUUGGCAGUCUCUACGGGGA